rnacentral:rRNA from 1 species
UACGUAGGGGGCUAGCGUUGUCCGGAUUUAUUGGGCGUAAAGAGCGUGUAGGCGGCUAGAUAGGUCCGUUGUGAAAACUCGAGGCUCAACCUCGAGACGCCGGUGGAAACCAUCUAGCUAGAGUCCGGAAGAGGAGAGUGGAAUUCCUGGUGUAGCGGUGAAAUGCGCAGAUAUCAGGAAGAACACCCGUGGCGAAGGCGGUUCUCUGGGACGGUACUGACGCUGAGACGCGAAAGCGUGGGGAGCGAACAGG